UCAGCCUGAGCCUCAUGUCAGCCUGAGCCUCCACACGUCUCACCAUCGAGUUCUGUGGAGCUGGCUGCCUGCUGGACACAUUCAGUAUUAUAUUCCGUGAACCAAAUGGUGUUUUAACAGUGUAAUUCUGAAGGGCUGGACGGUGAGUCCUGAGGCUCCCAGCAGCUGUCCAGUAAAGAGGAGCGGAAUAAAACCAUUCCAGCUUGAGAAGAAACUGAUCCUCCCCAACGUCUUGCCAGAGACAAUUUCCAACAGUGCAAAAGACAAGCAAGAGAAAGAGAAUAUCUACAAGACUCAUCUUAUAUUUUAAAUGAAAGAAAUCAAAAAAGUUUGAUAUUCCCUUCAUAUUCUUAACAUUGGCUCCGACAAAAAAUCUAAAAGUGAAAAUAUAACGAAACAGAUUUUGAUGUAAUAAAAUACAUGACCCAAAACAAACACAAUAGUAAAACAACUAUCUUGCCGAUCACAGGUCAGUGACUAAGUGAUACAAAUACAUUAGUUCAUAGGCCUAAUAGAGAUGAUCUCUGUGAGACUGUAUUUACAAAUGUAACGGUGUAAACAACAUGAAACUAAAGCGUGUUAGUCUCAGUGAGAGUGUCUAUGUAACCUAGAAGUGCUUCCAGACAGGGAAUGUGUAAGAGAUAAGGGAGAGUAAUUCCAUUACACUGAUCCCUAGUCUGCUGAAAGCACCUCACAGCCACUUGUGUUCAUCUACCGGGGCCCCUCUUGCAGCUUGUGAGCUUGUUGCCACGGUAACCACAGUUUGACGCCAAGGCUGUGUAGGAAGGCAGAAGCGACACUUGAAAAUGGGCAAACCACUGUAAAUAUGUACAUGUUUACUGAGAUACCAUGGCUUAUUCAUAUUUUCCUCCUAUGGCAGCUGUUGUGCCUGUACCUGUUGUUGUUGUCAUUUUCAACUCUCCUUUAAAGUUUGGAAAAUUUGCAUAAACCUGUGCAUUUUGAGAGAAUUAGCAAGUGCUUAGACAGAGACCCAUGCACCCAAGCAGUGUUGAUGAUCAUGGAGAGGGAACUGAUUAGAUUUUUGAAUGGAAUGGGAUUGUAGUGUGUGGGUAUUUGAGUUGGAGUAUAGGCAAGGGAGAAACAUAAUCAUGCAUUAUUUUGGCCUUUCGACUUCCCUACACAAAACAGAGUGAAAUUAUUUAAUCUAGAACUCACAUAAAAAAUAUAAAAAGAUUCAUUUCAUUCCCCAAGAAAAAUUGUCAUUUAAUUGUCCCUGAGGAAACCUUUUAUUUAGAAAUAUUGUGUAAUGACAAUACAUCCUAUUUGAUUGGGUAACAUUUAACUUUGGACAGACCCUCUCUUUCUGUCUCUGUGUCUCUUUAUACCCAACAGAGUCCUUGAGGGUGGUUCCAUACACAGUAGCAACAAAUGAUACUGGAUAAAUCAAUCAACUCUACUAACACAUCUGUUCAAUAAUGUAUAUAUUUAGAGGAUAACUGAUGUUUCAAAUGUAUCAUUGACCUAACUUAGGAGUGUUAUGUACCUGAGAAAAAUCAGUACCACAUGCUAUAAUGCAGAUCUUCUAAACCAGGCAUUGCAACAGGCAAGUGAUUUUUUUGGGGGGCCCUCCAACAUUUUUUUUUGUGAGGAUUUUAGUUUUGGGUAAAAAAAAAUCC